rnacentral:rRNA from 1 species
GUGGAUUAGAUACCCUAGUAGUCCACGCCCUUAACGAUGCGAACUAGGUGUUGGGGAAGGAGACUUUCUUAGUACCGCAGCUAACGCGUGAAGUUCGCCGCCUGGGGAGUACGGUCGCAAGAUUAAAACUCAAAGGAAUUGACGGGGACCCGCACAAGCGGUGGAUGAUGUGGAUUAAUUCGAUGCAACGCGAAAAACCUUACCUACCCUUGACAUGCCUGGAAUCCUGCUGAGAGGUGGGAGUGCCCGAAAGGGAACCGGGACACAGGUGCUGCACGGCUGUCGUCAACU